GCUAGGGUGGUUUAGUGGUUAGAGCGUCCGCUUCGGAUGCAGAAGGUCGUGGGUUUAAUCCCCGGGCAAGUCGUACCA